rnacentral:lncRNA from 1 species
GUUGUUUGGAUAUCCACCUUUACAUGAUAUUUUAGUUAUUGGGUGAUCUAAGAAUAUUAUUUUUCUUGAUAUGGUUAAUCCUCUAGUUAAUUAGAGAGAUUUGUUGGUGUAUCCCAUUAUUAUUCUAAUAGUGAAAGUUUUGGCUUGGACUUCGGUCCCAUGAUUUUUUCUGAUUUUGGAUUUUUCACGUAAAUUUGGUGCCUUGCAU